UACAGAGGGUGCGAGCGUUAAUCGGAAUUACUGGGCGUAAAGCGCGCGUAGACGGUUUGGUAAGUCAGAUGUGAAAUCCCCGGGCUCAACCUGGGAACUGCAUUUGAUACUGCCUGGCUAGAGUAUCGAAGAGGGAAGUGGAAUUUCCGGUGUAGCGGUGAAAUGCGUAGAUAUCGGAAGGAACACCAGUGGCGAAAGCGACUUCCUGGUCGAAUACUGACGUUCAUGUGCGAAAGCGUGGGGAGCAAACAGG
rnacentral:rRNA from 1 species